AUUGACCACUCGUAACACUCCGGUUCCUGCGCGCCGUCCGCAUCCAGCUGACGACUGCUCGCUACGGUGUGUUAGCC
rnacentral:sRNA from 1 species